rnacentral:lncRNA from 1 species
ACAAAAUAAAAAUAAAAAUGAAAGGAUGACAGAGAAAAUCAAAGUUCGAAACUUUGAUAAAAAGAACAGAGAACAAUAAAUUUAAGAAAACUUUUGCAUGUUAGAAAGAAAGUUUUUUUUGUUUUGUUUUCAGAAACAGAGAACCAAAGACCAAAACACAAUAUUCUCCUAUCUUUGAUCCUACACAUUGAUCUUCAAAUUACACAUUGAUCUUCAAAUGUAGGCUACACAUUAAGCAGCAACGUGUUCUUCAAUCUGAUAUUCAGACACUUCUUCAAAUGCAGCCUACACAAUAAAGUCUAAUAAAAGUAAAAAACAAUAACAAUGGACAAUUCAAAUUCAAAAAGAAAUGACCUUUGAUCAGAAACAGAGAACCAUAGACAAAUAAAAAUGAGAAAAAGCGAUGGAAGACAACUUUGAUAAAAAGAACAAAGAAGAAAAAUAAACAUAAAUUUAAGAAAGGUUUUGCAUGUUAGAAAGAAAGUAAUAGAAUACAACCUGAACAGUUGAGUUGCAAUGCCUGUUUGAAUGCAUGGAGGAAGUGUUUGCCAUCUUUGAACUAGUAGUAAUGAUGAAAAACAAACACAUUGAAUAAGUUGGAUAAGAUGAACAAAAAGCGAAAAAUGAGAAAUAAGAUGAACAGAUGAACAAAUCAAAAGAACAAAAUAUCAGAAAGGCAAAAAUAAAGAGCAAUGAAAUUAACACAUGCUUACAACCCUAAAACAUGAACUCAACCCUAGUGAAAAAUACACCGUAUAUAUAGUGAAAAUAAUGGUGUUUUGGGGAAAAAAAGCUUUCAAAUACGACAUCUCUGAAGUUGUCGAAUUGGUGAAAAGGAGUAAAGGAUAGUAAUUAGGUUUUAGAGAUACAGAGAAUGGGGAAAGCGACGCUAGAAAGCAGAAAUUGAAAUUGAAAUUCAAAACAUUACCUGAAGGGUGCUCUGUCAUUGUUCUGCACAACUCCUGGAAUCGACAUUUGUAGAGCCAUACACGCCUCUGGAAAAGUCAUUGCUAGGCACACAAAAAACACAUUCU